rnacentral:rRNA from 1 species
GAUGAACGCUGGCGGCGUGCUUAACACAUGCAAGUCGAACGAUGAAGCCCAGCUUGCUGGGUGGAUUAGUGGCGAACGGGUGAGUAACACGUGAGUAACCUGCCCUUGACUCUGGGAUAAGCCUGGGAAACUGGGUCUAAUACUGGAUAUGACUUCUCAUCGCAUGGUGGGGGGUGGAAAGAUUUAUUGGUCUUGGAUGGAAUCGCGGCCUAUCAGCUUGUUGGUGAGGUAUUGGCUCAGCAAGGCGACGACAGGUAGCCGGCCUGAUAGGGUGACCGGCCACACUGGGACUGAGAUACGGCACAGACCAGUACGGUAGGGAGCAGUGCGGAAUAGUGCACAAUGGGCGGAAGCCUGAUGCAGCGCAGCCGCGUGGGGGAUGACGGCCUUCGGGUAGUAAACCUCUUUCAGUUGGGAAGAAGCGAGAGUGACGGUACCUGCAGAAGAAGCGCCGGCUAACUACGUG